UGAUAUGUAAUGUAACAUUUGUCCAAUUAUUUUGUAGACUAAUAUCUCUUAUGUCAUUAGUUGAUAUAUUUUUCGUAUCUACUAUUGGUUGCAUUCCAUGAGAUAUUUGGUUCUUUUUAAAGAAUACUCUAUCCAUUGGUGGUCUUUCACACUCAUGACAUAUAUCACUAGGUUCUCCUGCAUUAUUUACUUUGUGCCAUUU
rnacentral:lncRNA from 1 species